AGGACAGAACCAGUUCUGUUACCUCAGGUAAUCUCAGGUGGCAGCUUCUGUAUAUGGACACCCGGGGAAAUCAAAGAGACUGGCAGUCAUCUCCGAGUGUCUUCAAAACCGGAAGGCUCUUCCAGACUCUGCCUCUUGCCUCUGGGACUCUAAUGGUCCAGCCUGGUCCUGACUGAGCCUGUGGAACCUGACCCUGAUACAAGUCUCACUCCCUACAAGCCAACACCAGGGGCUAGAACCUUCCUUUUGGAAUCAUUGUAGUACUUAAAAAAA
rnacentral:lncRNA from 1 species